rnacentral:lncRNA from 1 species
GGGAAUUGUGGGAGCUACAAUCCAAGAUGAGAUUUGGGUGGGGAUACAGCCAAACCAUAUCAAGGAAAGUGGGAAGUGUAAAUUAGCUGCCUGGGUCCCAGAAGUGAAUCAUUAAACUUGAACACUGAAUUUUCCUGUAUCCUGAAAACUCCAAAGUAUCUUAAUUCCAGAUGACUAGCGGUUGCUUUUAGCCAUAUUUUAAUACAUGGAAGCACUUCUGCAUUCCCUCUUUUCCCCAGGCCUGGACCUCAAUCCCCAGGUGUCUGCAACUCUUACUUGAUAUACACACAAUGGAUAAUCAAUAAUGAUUCAGCUAAGUAUGGAAAUAGAGCAGAGAAGAGCCCCUCCAGGUGUGAGCAGAACCUUGAAGGAGACAGGGAGCAGCCAUGUGGCUCUCAGAGGAACAGCAUUUCCAGGAGGAAUUGUGAUUGUAUUUCUGGGAACACAUCUUGGCAGGAGUUUCACUCUUGUCACCCAGGCU